CGGGGGGGUGGUUGGGACCGUCCCCUCACAGCCGUCCCGCCCCGCCGCGCUGCGCCCAUGGUGAUUGUGCUGCAUCCCCCGCGCGCGGAGCGGGGCGAGCUGCCCGCGCCUCCCCGCCGGGGCGCCCAGGUGUUGGUGACUUCAGUCAUUUAGGGGUUUAGUUCUGAGGAAGCAGAGACACAAGGAUUGAGUUUCUUUUACAUAGAAAGCUACAGCUGUUCACCAGUACUCUUUUUACUCCUUCCCAUCCUUCCCUGCUCCGUAGGGGAGAACAAUUUGAGAAUUAUUUUAAACAUUCAUUUACUCCCCCUUCCCUCCCUCAGAAACCUACCCUGGUCCCAAAGGCAUUCGCUAGACAGUGCCUGACAGGACCAGGAGAACAUUAUCAUCGCUUGCUUGCUUUGGGAGCUGCAGUAGUACCCUUCCCUCCUUUGGGGUGUAGUGCAGAGAGGCAUCCAGAUUUCCUGGCCACCCUUUUUGGUUAGUAGAGGAUCCAGGAAAAGGGGUACCUAGCAAGACACGUGACCUCCUUAAGGGAGCCAGAACUGAAGCAGCACUUGGCACGCUGAAGGAAACACCCAUCUUUAGUGUCUUUUUCGUCUUCCACUCCUUCCUCACCAAAUUUCUGCAGUUCCAUUGGAAGGAGACCUUGAAGGUUGCAAGACAAGUCCAAGAUGUGCAGUUCAGUUGCUCCCAGGCUGUGGUUCUUAACAGACCGUCGCAUCAGAGAAGAUUACCCUCAGCAGGAGAUCCUGAGAGCACUGAAGGCCAAGUGCUGUGAAGAGGAGCUGGAUUUCCGGGCCUUGGUGAUGGAUGAAGUGGUGCUGACCAUUGAGGAUGGAAAUCUUGACUCCAUGGUGCAAAACUUCAGCAUGUGGCGUGACUUUAAAGCAAAACAACAGAAUAGACUGAGAGAUUAUGAAUUGGAAAACUGUGUCGUUUUGGUUCACAACACAGAUAACGGUCUCCGGGUGAAAGGGGAGCUCAUUACUGCUUACCCACAAGUGGUGGUUGUGCGUGUCCCAACACCUUGGGUCCAGAGUGACAGCGACAUCACAGUCCUUCGCCACCUAGAGAAGAUGGGCUGUCGAUUGAUGAAUCGUCCUCAAGCCAUCCUCAACUGUGUCAACAAGUUCUGGACGUUUCAAGAACUUGCUGGCCAUGGUGUGCCUCUUCCAGACACUUUUUCAUAUGGUGGUCAUGAGAAUUUUUCCAAAAUGAUUGAUGAGGCGGAAGUGCUGGAGUUCCCUAUGGUGGUGAAGAACACGCGGGGUCAUCGAGGUAAAGCUGUGUUCCUGGCACGAGACAAACACCAUUUGGCAGACCUAAGCCAUUUGAUCCGUCAUGAUGCCCCUUACUUAUUUCAAAAAUACGUUAAGGAGUCCCAUGGCAAGGAUGUGCGCGUCAUCGUAGUGGGAGGCCGUGUGGUGGGCACCAUGCUCCGCUGCUCGACAGAUGGGAGGAUGCAGAGUAACUGCUCACUUGGUGGUGUAGGAAUGAUGUGCUCGCUGAGCGAACAAGGCAAGCAGUUGGCAGUCCAAGUGUCAAACAUCCUGGGGAUGGACGUGUGCGGCAUUGACCUGCUGAUGAAGGACGACGGUUCAUUCUACGUCUGCGAGGCCAAUGCAAAUAAUUAAAUAUUAUUAUUAAAAUCAAGUGAAAGGUUGACUGUUGGUGUUAAGCAGGAGAGUGGACCAGCUGGUCCAGCAAAAAAAGGAUCUUCAGCAGUAAAGGUAUUUUCAAAUCCUUCUUACUGAGCCUUCAAGCGCACAGGUUAUACCUGAAGAAUAUAAAGGUCUUCAACUUCCAUGAAGAGUUACAGAACAACAGAACAUGAAAGUAACCUAAUUCUCUAGUCACUGAGCAGUAAACUGUAUCUUCUAAGAGCUCUAAUUCCCUUGCUUGUUUAUCCAAGGGGAAUUUGGGGUGGAGGGUGGCUCUUUUUUUUUUUUUUUUUUUUUGUUUAUUCUUUUUUUGUCUCUUCCUGUUUACUGGUAGGUGCCUGCACUCCUUGAGAGGCUGAUAGGAUCAAUCCUUCCCUUUUUAGCUGUGACAUACAUUGAGCACAUGUGGAAUAACAGCAGGGAGUAAACAUGUGCUGGUUGGUAUACUGGGGCCUUUGCGUUUCUAUCACAGGAAACAUCUUUUAGAGGAAAGAGUUGUUAACUGAAUGUUCUGGAUUGUUUUUUGAGUCCCCAUAGUAUCUUGUAGCUCACAGGAAUCUUACAUUUCUAGCACCCUUUGAGAAUGUCUAGGUAACACCUCACAGUUGAAAAAUUUGUGAAGUAAACAUAAGAUUUUUUUAAAAGAUGAAGUGGAUUGAGAGAUUUGCAGUUUGACUCCCUUCUGAUAAGUUGCUCCUCUGCUUGGUUCUUCCAUUACUAGUUUGGAGAUAAGUCUAUGCAUAGUGGUCACAGAGGGAGACAGGAUUUGAAACAUCAUGUACGUUUGUUUGGACAUUGGGUACUGAUGCUGCAUGAAAACCUUGCUUGAGGGUUCAUUUGUACAAACGGGCACACUUGUCUCAUUUUAUUUACUCCCUACUUACCCAUUGCUCCUGGAAGAGUGAAAUGCAAAGAAUGGCCUGGGGAUGCAAAGGAGGUGUCUUGUUUUUACUUAAAGGAAAAAACACCAACAAAGCUAGCCCAUGGCAGUGUUUCCCAUUGAAGGUGAACUCCGCAGAUGUCAGCUGUAUACACUUUAUUUUCUUCAGUUCCUUCUGCUGAAAAUCACAUGCUAAACUUCCAUACAGUUUCACUAACACUACCUCCAUAUGUGGGUUUGGAAGCAUGUGCUGGAAAAAUGGUCAACAUAGUGGUGGAUUACAGUAGUGCCAGUACAGCUGAUGGUGAUACAACUAUUUUUGUGUAUUUUAAAGUUUGAAAGAGCCAGUUAGAAACUCUUGUUUGCAAGAGUAAGUUUCUUAAGCUACACCUGAUGAAAUUUUGUUCUUUGUAACACUGGAGAUUUUCUUCUGUUCAACUUACUGUGUUUGUAAUUGAUGUCUUGCUGUCAAUGUAUGGAUUGUAUCUUAAUCCUUGUAUUUAAUGCUUUAAUGUGUUUUAUAAAAUCUUUUCUUUUAAUGUUACAACACCUCAUCUGUAAAACAGUGUCAAUGCUUGAUGCUUACAUUGACUGUUACGUUUUUUGUUCUGAGCUGACGGUCACUCUUGAAGCAUUUUCUCCCACAUCGUGUGCUAUCUUUGCCAUGUGAUAUUUACUCAGGAAAUAACCUCUGGAACAUCUGGGUAUGUCAGACGCAAAGGAGAUACUUCUUCAGAUGUUAUACCGGACUACAAAAUCCAACAAAUGAAACCAGUGACGCUUGCUAAAUUCCCUCAUUGCAAAAAUCUGUCAGUUAAAUACAUAAGGGACCGUAAGGGCUUAGAGGGACUUUGAAAACAGAUCGCAUGUACAGUAUCUUUCUCAUGGCUCACUCUUUUUGAGAAGGUUUAUGGGCUUUAUGGCUGGUGUGAGACACACGACCCACUCCUGUUCUCUCUAUGGAAUAGUAGGUGCUCGGACAGGUAACUUCUGUUGCUACUGUCUUUUUUAAUUUUUAAGUUUUUCACUGUUCUAGGAAUUGUUUUAAACUGAACACUGCAGGAUUUAUAACCAGGUGUUUGCUGCCUUUUCCUUUGUUUUAUUUCUUUAAAUCUUUCUUAACCUUUGAGGGUGACUUUUGGAGCAUUCUGAUGGUGGAUCUUGGCCUGCUGUUGGAAGUCUCCAAGCCUUUCAUGUUUCUAAUUUGAGUUGAAAAGCUUUUGUUUUGUUUAUUUGUUUAAAACAAUGACACAAAUUAGAUGCGCGGAUUUCGGGUGGGAUUUGUUGUUGCGCUAUUUUGGGUGACUUAUUCUCCCUUUUUUUACAGAAAUGUGUUCUAACAGUUCACACUUUGUUACUGUUCUUUGCAAAACUUUUCAGGAGCCAAAAAAGUCAAACAAUGCAGAGAAAACCCCUUCUCCCCUUUCCGAUGGCACGAGUGAGAGCUUAUGAAAAAUCCUUGCGAAUGUUCCUUCCUAAACUUUUCCCCCCAGUAAUGCAAGCGGGUAAAAUGGUAAACGCAGCAGUUUGGUGACAUCCAAACCCGACCUGUUGUCAGGUAAAUUGACACUUUUCUGCUCUUACUCUAACCUUUGUAAGUUUGCUAACUUGUCUGCCUUCCUUUCUUCCCAUCAGUUCAUUUUGGUGAUACUUGUUGAAUGAUUUCUUUAACCGGAUUUAGAGAAAAUCCUGCUUUACUUCCUUAUUUCCCUUCCUUAUACUUGUUGACUUUAAGAAAACUGUCAUUGUGCUUUGCUUUACUCAGGUGAGAGAAAAGUGAGUCCCCCGUGCAACUGUAUGAGGGAUAGAUUUGUAAUACAUUAAUUCCACUUCCUCUAUCAAUUCUAGAUAGUUUGUCUUCAAGUGUACUAUUUUAGCUUAGAUUUUUGAAAGAUAUGUUACUUUCCAUUUGCUAAGUGAACAUAAAAUAUAACUGCAGAAGCAAGUAGUUGAUAGGAGUGAAAAACUAGUACUAAGAAUGUUAAAUCUAUUAAAAUUCAAUAGAGCAGGAUCUUGUAAAGAGGACAGAUGGACGAAUAAGUGUGCUGAAGAAAAAGACUGUUGGGCUGAUUAUUUCUGUUGGUGGAGGAUGGGGUGACACAUUUUAUCUUGCCCUUACUGCUAUAUCAAAGCACUUGUACAUUUUAUCCUUCUCUGGUAACUCUCUCCCUUAAUCUCAAACAAUGUGAAAGUACUGGGUACUUAAUAUUUUUUUACUUAAUAUAAGGGGGAGAAUCUUGUAUUUUACUCAGAGGUAAAAUAUCAGACAAUUGGAAUACCAUUCCAAGUUGAAGAAUGUGAGCCUACAAACAGGCUUCCAAGUUUCCUGAUGCAGUAUUAUAUUUCCCAUGACAUCUGUAAAGAAUUAGCACUUGUUUCAGAUUAUUUCUCUGUGUACAUGAAUUACUCCUCUAUACCAUCAUAAAAUAGUCUAUUUUCAUAGUCUCAGUUUAUAUUACCAGAUAUUACCAGCAAUAUAAUAAAUUGCAGCUCAAAUUAAGGUGGGAGGGAAUAAUUAUAGAGCCAAAUUUUGCUCUCAAUUACACUGAGAUAAACCUGGAAUCACUCUGUGAAAGUCAGUGGAGUGAUAUCCAAUUUCACUGGUAUAAUUGAGUGUAUAAUUUGUGUCUUAAAUUUUACUUGCAAGGUAAUUUUACAAACCUGUUAUACUUAUGUUUCCAAUGCUUUUUCCUUUCAGACACACCCACUUCUUGCGUCUCAGCAUUGGGCAGGCCUAUUCCUUUAUUUGUGUAUAUUUUUGUGCAUCAGCUGCUAUAGGACACGGGUGUUACACUUUCAGGCAUGUGGUUGGGUGUCUUUGGGGUUUGUAAUAAUGUCCAAAAAUAAGAAUUUCUUUUCCUCAGAUUUAUUAAUUAAUUUGUGUUGGAUCACAGUUUUGCAUUUCUAACCUGAUUUUAGAUACAUAUUCUAUUAAGAUUUUCUUGAAAGAAAUACAGUACUAGUUCUUUGCAGAGUCUGCAAUUGAUCUUUGGUGGGGAGAGUUGACCAAAAUUUACUGCAUUCUGCAGUAGUUAAUGUUUUAAUAUUUAGUGUUGCUUGAAAGGUGGUUUUACAGAUCAUGGUCUUUCCUCUUUAUGGAAUGGCUUUCAAAGCCUUGUAUUGAUCUUGGUUGUGCCCAGUGCUUUGCCUAGUGUAUGGGGAAAUGUAGAACUUGAAUAGGCCAUGACUUCUUAGACAAGGGAUGAUGAUUAUGUGCAUGCUGAACAAGAACUUCUUCUAUAUGCCCUUCUGCUGCAACAGAGUAAUUAAACUGGUAGGUGGCAGCAGCAGCAGCAGCAGCAGAAGAAACUCAUGACUGUGACCUGAGAAACCUCCAGUACGGGGAGAAAUGGAUUGCAAAAUACUAACUGGAGUAAGGGGAACGGAGAAGAGAGGCAGAGUCCCUGAACUGUCCCUUUGAAUGAUUUCCUGGAAGCAGUGACACUGCUGAGCUUCUGUGGUGCUUAGUUUAUCUGUGUCAUAAAAUACUUACAUUUUGGGGAGAGAGGAACUGGAGAGGUGAAAACUGUCCGUGGUGUUACAUGGACUGAACAGGAAGGUGCUCUGAAGCAGAGAAAGAAGACUAAGCAGUAGCUGUAUGCACAGGAAUCUAAUGCGUGUGAAAGAUGCUGGAUCACCAGGUGCAGAGAUUGACUCUAUCCACUGGAAAGGUUUUUCUACAGCAGCAGGAGGUCUUCUCUUGCUUCUCAUGGGAACACUUAGCGUUUUGAUAAUGCCUCCUUCGCAAUGAAGGGAAGAAAGGAUGGAUCAGCAAUGAUGUGCAAUGGAGUGAUGUCCACAUGUGGCCUUAAUAGUCAUGAUCCCUGUCCUACUAACUUGGAGAAUUGAAUAAAAGAGUUGAAUUGUUA